GAUGAACGCUGGCGGCGUGCCUAAUACAUGCAAGUCGAGCGAAUGGAUUAAGAGCUUGCUCUUAUGAAGUUAGCGGCGGACGGGUGAGUAACACGUGGGUAACCUGCCCAUAAGACUGGGAUAACUCCGGGAAACCGGGGCUAAUACCGGAUAACAUUUUGAACCGCAUGGUUCGAAAUUGAAAGGCGGCUUCGGCUGUCACUUAUGGAUGGACCCUGGUGGCAUUAGCUAGUUGGUGAGGUAACGGCUCACCAAGGCAACGAUGCGUAGCCGACCGGAGGGGGUGAUCGGCCACACUGGGACUCAGACACGGCCCAGACUCCUCCGGGAGGCAGCAGUAGGGAAGCUUCCGCAAUGGACGAAAGUCUGACGGAGCAACGCCGCGUGAGUGAUGAAGGCUUUCGGGUCGUAAAACUCUGUUGUUAGGGAAGAACAAGUGCUAGUUGAAUAAGCUGGCACCUUGACGGUACCUAACCAGAAAGCCACGGCUAACUACGUGCCAGCCGCCGCGGUAA
rnacentral:rRNA from 1 species